rnacentral:lncRNA from 1 species
UACAUAUUUAAGAGAAAAUGAAUAAAGAUGAGAAUUUGUUACUUUUUAAAGCUACUUGCAGUUUUCACCAGGGUCCCUCUGUAAAAGAUUUAUUGGUCUUUUGGCCUUCUGUUUGUCUGAGAUAUUCAGAAAAUCUGUGUCACAUCAGCUGAGACUUUGAAAUUAACACAGGUAGCACUGAUUAAAAUAUGUUGACCUGGUAAAUGAGAGCUAAUCUAUCUUGAGAAAAUAACUCCGCUUCUCCCUAGCUUUUCAAGUAACAUGUUCUGCUGCCUUCAUUCCUGUUGCCCCAUUUCCUCUUCUCCUCUAAGACACCAUUCUCCAUGGUAUACUUCCUCUUUCUCCUUAAUCCUUCACUUCGAAAAAUGUGAACAUUCAGCUGUUUGUAGGAAGCCUGCUGUUUUCCUAGACAUUUUACUGUCAGCCUGGUGACACUGGCAAUCUGGAUCAUUUUGCCCUAAGCAUAUUUCAUUGUACAGUUAUAACAUCAAGACUGAGUCAGGCCAAGCUGUUACUAUGAUCGUUGAAGCACCCUGAGAAUUACAGAACAGUAUGGAGUAAACUUUCUGUGUUGCUAUGAUACCUCAAUGGUCCUGUUGGUUUUGAUCGGUGAGAAGACAAAAAAUAAAUAAAAAUAGUUAUGCCUGCAUACCUCACCCAGCUGAACAGGUUGUGUUGGCACAUCCCAGAAUAAAUUGGGUUUGGACCACAUAAGAGGUAGUGCUCACGGUCAUCUGAUGUCAACUGAAACCUGGAUUGGCCCGGGAUAUGGAAACCUGUUUUUCUGACUUCAUUGCUGUUUUAUCUCUCCUGAGUUUGACAGCAGGAGACAGUGAAAGGAGAAUUAACACUUUGAUGGUAUGUGUGCAGACAGAAAUUCUGACGACUCAAGACUUGGAAUCCUUUUUCUUUCCUUUCUCUUACCCAGCUCUGAUAUCUCAUAAAUUUAUUUGUGCAUUUUCAUUACUGAGAUGGAAAGUAACAUGAUGCUUAAGACUGUGCAGUUUUGGACACAUUUGCUUGACCAGAGAAACGCC